GACAGAGGUGCCGAGCGUUAGGCGGAAUCACUGGGCUUAAAGCGUGUGUAGGUGGAUGCCUAAGUACCUUGUGAAAUCCCACGGCUUAACCGUGGAACUGCUUGGUAUACUGGGUGUCUUGAGCCAGCUAGGGGCUACCGGAACAAAUGGUGGAGCGGUGAAAUGCGUAGAUAUCGUUUGGAACGCCAAUGGUGAAAACAGGUCGCUGGGGUUGUGCUGACGCUGAGACACGAAAGCCAGGGGAGCGAACGGG
rnacentral:rRNA from 1 species